UACAGAGGCCUCAAGCGUUGUUCGGAAUCACUGGGCGUAAAGGGUGCGCAGGUUGUUGGGUAAGUCAUAUGUGAAAGCCCAGGGCUCAACCCUGGAAUUGCAAAUGAUACUGCUCGGCUAGAGACUCAAAUAGGGGGUUGGAAUUCACGGAGUAGCAGUGAAAUGCGUAGAUAUCGUGAGGAACACCAAAGGCGAAGGCAGACCCCUGGGGGAGUACUGACACUAAUGCACGAAGGCCAGGGUAGCAAACGGG
rnacentral:rRNA from 1 species